AGAGUUCGAUCCUGGCUCAGGAUGAACGCUGGCAGCAUGCUUAACACAUGCAAGUCAGACAAAAAGUGGUGUUUUUAGUGGCAGAUGGGUGAGUAACGUGUAAGAACAUGUCCUUAGAAGGGGAACAACAGCUCGAAAUGGCUGCUAAUACCCCGUAGGCUGGGGACCAAAAAGAGGAAUUCGCCCAAGGAGGGGUUUGUGUCUGAUUAGCUAGUUGGUGAGGCAAUAGCUUGCUAAGGUAAUGAUCAGUAGUAGGUUCGAGAGGAUGAUCAGCCACACUGGAACUGAGACAUGGUUCAGACUCCUACAAGAGGUAGUAGUGGGAAAUGUUUUACAAAUGGACGAAAGCCUGACGGAGCAAUGCCACAUGGAGGUAGAAGGCCCACGGGUCAUGAACUUCUUUUCUUAGAGAAGAAGCAAUGACAGUAUCUGGGGAAUAAGCAUCGACUAACUCUAUGCCAACAGCCGCAGUAAGACAGAGGAUGCAAGCAUUAUCCAAAAUGAGUGGGCGUAAAGAGUCUAUAGGUAGCUUUUUAAGUCCGCUGUCAAAUCCCAGGGCUCAACCCUAGAUAGGCCCAGGGCUCAAUCCUAGAUAGGCGGUGGGAACUACCAAGCUAGAGUAUGAUAGGGAUAGAGGAAAUUUUUGAUGGAGCGAUGAAAUACGUAGAGAUCGAAAAGAACACCAACAGCGAAAGCACUUUGCUGGGUCGACACUGAGAGACAAAAGCUAGAGAAGUGAGUGGGAUUAGAUACCUUAGUAGUCCUAGCCGUGAAUGAUGGAUACUAGGCAUUGUGUGUAUCGACCCGGGUAGUGCAGUAGCUAACACGUUAAGUAUCUCGCUCGGGGAGUACAUUCGCAAGAAUGAAACUUAAAGGAAUUGAUGGGGGCCCGCACAAUUGGUGGAGAAUGUCAUUUAAUUCGAUGCAAAGUGAAGAACCUUACUAGGGCUUAACAUGUUGUGAACCCUCUUAAAAGAGAGGGUGCCUUUGGGAAUGCGGACACAGGUGGUGCAUGGCUAUUGUCAGCUCAUGCCAUAAGGUGUUGGGUUAAGUCUCACAAUAAGCGCAACCUUUGUGUUUAGUUCCAUCAUUGAAUUUGGAACCUUGAAUAGACUGCCAGUGAUAAGCCAGAGGAAGGUGAGGAUGACAUCAAGUCGUCAUGCCUCUUAUGCCCUGGGCGAUACACGUGCUAAAAAAUGGUCAGGACAAAGGGUUGCGAACCCGCCAGAGCGAGCUAACCCUAAAAACCCAUCCUCAAUUCGGAUUACAGGCUGCAACUCGCCUGCAUGAAGUCAGAAUCGCUAGUAAUCACCGAUCAGCCAUACGACGGUGAAUUCAUUCCUGAGCCUUGUGCACACCGCCCGUCACACUAAGGGAGAUGGCCAUGCCCGAAGUCGUUACCUUAACCGCAAGGAGGGGGAUACCGAAGGUAGGGCUAGUGACUGGAGUGAAGUCGUAACAAGGUAACUGUACUCGAAGGUGUGGCUG
rnacentral:rRNA from 1 species